GAAGGGGAAGAGGAUAUUCCCAAGGUGGAUACACCGGUUACAACGGAUAUGAAGGUUAUGACGACUAUCAAGAAAAUGGUGGACAAAGCCGUGGAGGUUAUGUGAACUAUCAGCGAGGAGGCUAUGGCAAUUAUCAGCGAGGUGGCGGGCAAGGUCGUGGAGGAUAUGAUAAUUAUCAGCGGGCUGGUGGGCAAGUCCGAGGUGGUUACGACAAUUAUCAGAGGGGCGGCGGACAAGUCCGAGGUGGUUACGACAAUUAUCAGAGGGGCGGCGGA
rnacentral:misc_RNA from 1 species